rnacentral:rRNA from 1 species
AUAUACGACCGUACCGCAAACCGACACUGGUGCGCGAGAUGAGUAUUCUAAGGCGCUUGAGAGAACUCAGGAGAAGGAACUCGGCAGAUUGACACCGUAACUUCGGAAGAAGGUGUGCCCUAUUAGUGUGUAGUGAACAACGAAGCAUGAAUGGGUUGCAAAAAAUCGGUGGCUGCGACUGUUUAUUAAAAACACAGCACUCUGCAAACACGAAAGUGGACGUAUAGGGUGUGACGCCUGCCCGGUGCUGGAAGAUUAAAUGAUGGGGUGCAAGCUCUUGAUUGAAGUCCCAGUAAACGGCGGCCGUAACAAUAACGGUCCUAAGGUAGCGAAAUUCCUUGUCGGGUAAGUUCCGACCUGCACGAAUGGCGUAACGAUGGCCACACUGUCUCCUCCUGAGACUCAGCGAAGUUGAAAUGUUUGUGAUGAUGCAAUCUCCCCGCGGAAAGACGGAAAGACCCCAUGAACCUUUACUGUAGCUUUGUAUUGGACUUUGAACAGAUCUGUGUAGGAUAGGUGGGAGGCUUUGAAGCAGGGUCGCUAGAUCUUGUGGAGCCAACGUUGAAAUACCACCCUGGUGUGUUUGAGGUUCUAACCUAGGUCCAUUAUCUGGAUCGGGGACAGUGCAUGGUAGGCAGUUUGACUGGGGCGGUCUCCUCCCAAAGCGUAACGGAGGAGUUCGAAGGUACGCUAGUUACGGUCGGACAUCGUGACGAUAGUGCAAUGGCAUAAGCGUGCUUAACUGCGAGACUGACAAGUCGAGCAGAUGCGAAAGCAGGACAUAGUGAUCCGGUGGUUCUGUAUGGAAGGGCCAUCGCUCAACGGAUAAAAGGUACUCUGGGGAUAACAGGCUGAUACCGCCCAAGAGUUCAUAUCGACGGCGGUGUUUGGCACCUCGAUGUCGGCUCAUCUCAUCCUGGGGCUGUAGCCGGUCCCAAGGGUAUGGCUGUUCGCCAUUUAAAGAGGUACGUGAGCUGGGUUUAAAACGUCGUGAGACAGUUUGGUCCCUAUCUUCCGUGGGCGCUGCAGAUUUGAGGAAGCCUGCUCCUAGUACGAGAGGACCGGAGUGGACACACCUCUGGUGUAUCGGUUGUCACGCCAGUGGCAUUGCCGAGUAGCUAAGUGUGGAAGAGAUAACCGCUGAAAGCAUCUAAGCGGGAAACUCGUUUCAAGAUGAGAUCUGCCGGGGCCUUGAGCCCCCUAAAGAGUCGUUCAAGACCUGGACGUUGAUAGGUCAGGUGUGGAAGCG